UACGUAGGGUGCAAGCGUUAAUCGGAAUUACUGGGCGUAAAGCGUGCGCAGGCGGUGAUGUAAGACAGGUGUGAAAUCCCCGGGCUUAACCUGGGAACUGCAUUUGUGACUGCAUCGCUGGAGUGCGGCAGAGGGGGAUGGAAUUCCGCGUGUAGCAGUGAAAUGCGUAGAUAUGCGGAGGAACACCGAUGGCGAAGGCAAUCCCCCUGGACCUGCAC
rnacentral:rRNA from 1 species